rnacentral:tRNA from 1 species
GCCUCUGUAGCUCAGUUGGUUAGAGCGCUGCACCGGAAUCGCAGGGCCGUAGGUUCAAUUCCUACCAGAAGGA